UACAAAGUUAGAGCUCCUAAUUAAUUAGCUACUGUGUGUGAAUAUAAUCAUAGCUUUUCUUGAAGAAAUUAUAAGAAAAGUAAUUAAGUUAGCAAAAGUGGAUCGAAGGAGAAAAAAGAUGAGACAUUUCCUAAUAUGUACUCAGCAGCUCGAUCUCAGCAAGAUAUGUCUACUUUGGUUUCUGUCCUCUCUCAUGUUAUUGGCAACACUUCUUCUACUGCAGGAAAUACCCUAAGUCAUCUCUCUAUAAACCAACCACACCCCAAUUUACAAC
rnacentral:lncRNA from 1 species